rnacentral:rRNA from 1 species
AAUGGCUCAUUAAAUCAGUUAUGGUUCCUUAGAUAUGACCAAGUUUUACUUGGACAACUGUGGCAAUCCUAGAGCUAAUACAUGCAACUCGAGCCUGGCCCGGAAACGGGCGAGGCGCACUUAUUAGAUCAAAACCGAUCGGCCGGGCGACCGGCCGAACCCUUUUGGUGACUCUGGAUAAACCACGCUGAUCGCACGGCCUCCGCGCCGGCGACGUAUCUUUCGAAUGUCUGCCUUAUCAACUGUCGAUGGUAGGUUCUGCGCCUACCAUGGUUGUAACGGGUAACGGGGAAUCUGGGUUCGAUUCCGGAGAGGGAGCCUGAGAAACGGCUACCACAUCCAAGGAAGGCAGCAGGCGCGCAAAUUACCCAUUCACAGCACGUGGAGGUAGUGACGAAAAAUAACGAUACGGGACUCAUCCGAGGCCCCGUAAUCGGAAUGAGAACACUUUAAAAACUUUACCUAGUACCAAGUGGAGGGCAAGUCUGGUGCCAGCAGCCGCGGUAAUUCCAGCUCCACCAGCGUAUAUUAAAGUUGUUGCGGUUAAAAAGCUCGUAGUUGGAUCUGUGUUUCGGACGGUCGGUUCGCCGCUCGCGGCGUUCAACUGGCCGGUCCGUACGUCCUGCCGGUGGGCGGGGCUGGGGCGCGAGCCUCGGCCCCUGCCCGAUAAAUUCCCUCCGCUGCUGCCUUUCACCGGGUGGUGCGGCGGGCCGGCACGUUUACUUUGAACAAAUCCGAGUGCUCAAAGCAGGCUGCUUGUCGCCUGAAGAUUGUGUGCAUGGAAUAAUGGAAUAGGACCUCUGUUCUAUUUUGUUGGCUUUUCUGAACCAGAGGUAAUGAUUAAUAGGGACAGACGGGGGCAUUCGUAUUGCGGCGUUAGAGGUGAAAUUCUUGGAUCGUCGCAAGACGUACCGAUGCGAAAGCGUUUGCCAAGAAUGUUUUCGCUAAUCAAGAACGAAAGUUAGAGGUUCGAAGGNGAUCAGAUACCGCCCUAGUUCUAACCAUAAAGCGAUGCCAAGCACAUGCGAUGCGCCGANCGUUCCCUCNGAUGANCUUNGUCGCGGCANGCUUGCCCGGGAAACCCAAGCUUUUGGGUUCCGGGGGAAGUAUGGUUNNNNNNNNUAAACUUAAAGGAAUUGACGGAAGGGCACCACCAGGAGUGGAGCCUGCGGCUUAAUUUGACUCAACACGGGAAACCUCACCAGGCCCGGACAUCGCUAGGAUGGACAGAUUGAUAGCUCUUUCUUGAUUCGAUGGGUGGUGGUGCAUGGCCGUUCUUAGUUGGUGGAGUGAUUUGUCUGGUUAAUUCCGAUAACGAACGAGACUCUAGCCUGCUAAAUAAGACGCCGCGAUCUUUACUGCUCGCGGCGCAACAAAACUUCUUCUUAGAGGGACAGGCGGCUUCUAGCCGCACGAGAUUGAGCAAUAACAGGUCUGUGAUGCCCUUAGAUGUUCUGGGCCGCACGCGCGCUACACUGAAGGAAUCAGCGUGUAUGCCCUGGCCGAGAGGCCCGGGAAACCCGUUGAACCUCCUUCGUGCUUGGGAUCGGCUUUUGUAAUUAUCAGCCGUGAACGAGGAAUCCCCAGUAAACGCGAGUCAUAAGCUCGCGUUGAUUACGUCCCUGCCCUUUGUACACACCGCCCGUCGCUACUACCGAUUGAACGAUUUAGUGAGGUCUUCGGACUGGGGCUCGGAGCGUCGCCUCGCGCGGUGCGAAGACGCCCUGGGAAGAUGACCAAACUUGAUCGUUUUAGAG